UACGUAGGGGGCAAGCGUUGUCCGGAAUCAUUGGGCGUAAAGAGCGUGUAGGCGGCCCGGUAAGUCCGCUGUGAAAGUCCAGGGCUCAACCCUGGGAUGCCGGUGGAUACUGUCGGGCUCGAGUCCGGAAGAGGAGUGUGGAAUUCCUGGUGUAGCGGUGAAAUGCGCAGAUAUCAGGAGGAACACCAAUGGCGAAGGCAGCACUCUGGGACGUGACUGACGCUGAGACGCGGAAGCGUGGGGAGCAAACAGG
rnacentral:rRNA from 1 species